rnacentral:misc_RNA from 1 species
UUAAGUUCAGCGGGUAUCCCUACCUGAUCCGAGGUCAAACUAUAAAAUUUGAGGUUGCUGGCCAGCAGCCACCGGGACCCAACAGCGAGAAAAAUUACUACGCUGAGGGACACGAUAGCGCCGCCACUGUUUUUGAGGCCCGCCGUUGCCGGCGCGGCCCAAGACAAGCAAAGCUUGAGGGUUGAAAUGACGCUCGAACA